AUUUGAUCUCUGGUUCCUCUGCCUUUUCUAAAACCAGCUUGAACAUCAUGUGUAAAUCCUAUGCUUUAAAAAAAAUAUUCAACUUUAAACAAGGCAAGUUAUUCUUGGUCUAAUAAGUGCUAUAUAGGGAGAUGGCAAGGCUAUUUAGAUUUUAGAUUAGUUGAUUUUUUUUUUUUCGUUUUGGGUGGUCCAGGAUUUUGUGUGUGUUUAUAUAGAUGUUACUUCUCUUCACCCGAUGAAGACAGUCAGCUUUGUUGCUCUUUAUUAUUUAUUUUCUAUUAUUUUAAAUGUAUGUCUCUCUUCGCUGAUGCUAUAGACAUAGAUGGAAAGCACGACAUUUAUGUCAGCCUCCUCUGUUUCUAGGCUCUCACUGGUGCACCCCCAGUUUGUAUAAUAUAUCCCUGUCCUUCUUAUUACAAAGUAACAUUUACAUCACACUGCAUACCCCUCACAGUGAACCCUUCACCUUCCAGAAGUGUAUGUUGCCUUAUACUUUAGAGAAACUGUGGCUGAGUCUUCCUUUCCAGAAUCUUUUUUUCUCCUGUUCCUUCCUACAUGGCCCCUUCUCAAUUACAACUGCUGUUUAAGACUCUUGAAUUUUUUGGAUGGAUGUAAGCGUGGGGAACUGAGGUUCUAGGGAUCUACCAGUUAUUGAAAAUGGAUUUUUUCUUUUUCUUCUUGCCACUUUCGGAUGAUUUUGUAUUGUUUUUUAGGGAAAGAAGAGGGAAAUGUUUCUUUGCCACCAGGUUGAAAUCAUUUCAAGGUUGCCCCAUAAGAGACACAGGGAAAGAUGGCAUCUGGCAGAGACUGGGAAUAUCCAAGAAGGGAGCCCGACACUCAUGUGGCCAGAGUUUGAUAAGUUGUCUCAAAGUGCAGACGAGCAAGAAUGAAAUGAUUUACCCAGAGUCAACAGCUAGUUAGUGACUAAGCGAAACCAAUAUCCUGAAUUCCUCACUUCUGUUUCUGUAUUAUUUGUGGGCUGUAGGGUGAAAGAUAAGAGAGAUUUCUGUUUCUGCAGUUUUUUCAAAAGAAUUUUCCUAUA
rnacentral:lncRNA from 1 species